UACGGAGGGCGCAAGCGUUAUCCGGAUUCACUGGGUUUAAAGGGUGCGUAGGCGGGCAGGUAAGUCAGUGGUGAAAUCUCCGAGCUUAACUCGGAAACUGCCAUUGAUACUAUUUGUCUUGAAUAUUGUGGAGGUAAGCGGAAUAUGUCAUGUAGCGGUGAAAUGCUUAGAUAUGACAUAGAACACCAAUUGCGAAGGCAGCUUACUACACAAUGAUUGACGCUGAGGCACGAAAGCGUGGGGAUCAAACAGG
rnacentral:rRNA from 1 species